rnacentral:rRNA from 1 species
UACGUAGGGUGCGAGCGUUGUCCGGAAUUAUUGGGCGUAAAGGGCGCGUAGGCGGCUUGGCAAGUGGAAGGUGAAAUCCCUCGGCUUAACCGAGGAACUGCCCUCCAAACUGCUUUGCUUGAGGCCGGGAGAGGUGAGUGGAAUUCCCAGUGUAGCGGUGAAAUUCGUAGAUAUCGGGAGGAACACCAGUGGCGAAGGCGGCGAUCUGGGAAGAUACUGACGCUGAGGUGCGAAAGCGUGGGGAGCAAACAGG